AACGCGAAGAACCUUACCCAGACUUGACAUGCACUGGACAGUCCUAGAAAUAGGAUCUCCCUUCGGGGCCGGUGCACAGGUGCUGCAUGGCUGUCGUCAGCUCGUGCCGUGAGGUGUUUGGUUAAGUCCAGCAACGAGCGCAACCCUUAUCAUUAGUUGCCAACACGUAAAGGUGGGAACUCUAGUGAGACUGCCCGGGUUAACCGGGAGGAAGGUGAGGAUGACGUCAAGUCCGCAUGGCCCUUAUGUCUGGGGCUACACACGUGCUACAAUGGUCGGUACAGAAGGCAGCGAAACCGCGAGGCGGAGCAAAUCCCUAAAAACCGAUCCCAGUUCAGAUUGUAGUCUGCAACUCGACUACAUGAAGACGGAAUUGCUAGUAAUGGCAGGUCAGCAACACUGCCGUGAAUACGUUCCCGGGCCUUGGUACCACACCGGAGUGC
rnacentral:rRNA from 1 species